UACGUAGGGUGCAAGCGUUAAUCGGAAUUACUGGGCGUAAAGCGUGCGCAGGCGGUUGUGCAAGACCGAUGUGAAAUCCCCCGGGGCUUAACCUGGGAAUGGCAUUGGUGACUGUACGGCUAGAGUGUGUCAGAGGGGGGGUAGAAUUCCACGUGUAGCAGUGAAAUGCGUAGAGAUGUGGAGGAAUACCGAUGGCGAAGGCAGCCCCCUGGGAUAACACUGACGCUCAGGCACGAAAGCGUGGGGAGCAACAGG
rnacentral:rRNA from 1 species